rnacentral:lncRNA from 1 species
UGCCAUUGGCAAUUAAGAAGAUUGGAAAUCUAUGAAAACUAUAAUAACUAAUCAAAAUUAUCAUAAUCUAGCAUCAUUGUGAACAAAGAGGACAAUAAACUAUAAUAACUUUGGAUUGUAAAAUCCAACAAAAAUUGGAGAAUAAAGAAAUUGUGAAAAGAAAUUAUCGAAAAUGGUGAAAAAAAUAUGCAUCCAGGAGAUUCAUCAUGACAACAAGUUAAAAAAAAAGUGCCACUUGAUGCAUUUUCAGUAUGUCAUCUUUAGUUUCACACAUAGGAAGGUUCUUCGAACUUAUCACAGCACAUCAUAAAUCAUAAGAAUGAGCAAAGCGAUGAUGUUCAGACAGAUAUGCAGACAUUAAUGAUAUUCAGAAAAGUAAAAGCUUCCAUUUAUCAGUUAAAACCAACUUCAUUUUCUUCCGCUAAGAUUAAUAUGUUCAAUUAUGAAAUUUUAACCACAAAAAUUGUGCUUCUUUCCCUUAUGCGAGUCAAUAAUAGAAUGUCGGGACUAAUCUAACAUAUCAGGACGUUCUCACCAGAAUGAAGCUUGCCGGCUCCUUUAUCAGGUACCGUACCAAUGAAAUUCCAGAUAGUUAUCUCAAAAUUUACAAUGCUUAUGUCAUGAGUUAUAAUAUGGUAAAAACAGACUGCACAGUGGCUUCAUCCAAUUGCUAAACAUUUUCUACAACUAUCAAAAUCUGAAUUUUGUAAAUAUUUGUGGGAUAUGUAGGGCAAUGUUAAAGAACGAUAAAUUAUAUACUUAGGUAGAAAUAGGAUAUGACACACACUUUUCCUAUAUUGUAUAUUUGCACCAGAACAAAAUCUUAAUAGUAAAAUUGACCUAAGGUGCUCUCCAACAUUCUCAGUAAGGCUUGCUGAACACAUUCCCCGAAUACAUCCCUUCCACUGCUCAAACUCUCGGACUACAAAAUAACGACUCGAGUUAACUUCGUAUUUUUAACUUCAAUUAAAUCUGCAUAAUCAUCUUCUUACCAUUUCUUUUCACAAUUUCUUUAUUCUCCAAUUUUUGUUGGAUUUUACAAUCCAAAGUUAUUAUAGUUUAUUGUCCUCGUUGUUCAGAAUGAUGCUAAACUAUGGUAAUUUUGAUUAGUUAUUAUAGUUUUCAUUAAUUUUCAAUCUUCUUAAUUGCCAAUGGCAAUGUAACAUGCUAAAAUUCAAUUGAAAUUAUCAUUAUCAUAUGUAAUUUGUGAACAAACUUGAUCUCUUUUUUUUUUUAAUGGCGAACAAACUUGAUCUCUAAACUAAAAGAAACCUUAAAAAUCAACUAUCACGAAAAGUGAAAGAGAACAAUUACUAUGUGAGAACGAAAAAGAAGAACAAAAUGAACAAAAAUGAAAGCGAGAACAAAAUAGAUGAAUGUGUGAUGAACUUACCAGAGAAAGAAGUGAUGAACAAAAGAUGAAGAGAAGAGAAGCGUUAAUCAGAGUUUAAGCGCUUCAGUGUUUGUAGAGAAAGGAUAAGCGCUUCGGCCGUUUGUGAAUAAGCGAUUUUAUUUUUAUUGUGAGUGAAUAAGCGAUUUGCAAAAGAGGAAAAGCGUUUAAGCUUUUGUGAAUAAACCAGUCCUGAACCGGUUUAAUGAGAUUUACCUUUUCUGAAG